rnacentral:lncRNA from 1 species
AUAAUAUGCUACUAGUUAACUUGAUCCCUGGGUCAGGAAGAUCCCCUGGAGAAGGGAAUGGCUACUCACUCCAGUAUUCUUGCCUGGAGAAUUUCAUGGACAGAGGCGUCUGGCGGGCUACAGUCCAUGGGGUUGCACAGAUUCGGACGUGACUGAGCCACUAACACUAGCUAAGUCCAGGCCAGUGCCUUUUCUACCACAUCCUAAGAUUCAGCUCUCAACAACCACGAGAGGGGAAAACUGCAAACUAAUGAAAGAAAAACGUGGUGUCGAACAAUGUGACUGUGUUUAUGUGGCCUACCAACAUCUGACAUGCUAGUGACUGACACAAAGUGAUUUAUUUUAAAGCCGCCCCCAUUUUUAAAAUGUUCAGAUCGUCACAAUGCCCGAGUUAUUUUAAUGGGCCACUUUGACAAGCCACGGGAACUUUUUUUGAAUCGAGACAGCUGGAUUAAGACUAUUGUGAAACAGGGGGAUGGGGCUUUCACAGGGGGUACCCAAGAGACAGGGGUUGUUGACCUGUCAUUUGCUGAGUGAUGGGCCAUUACCCUCCCCCUCCCCCCGCCCAGCGAUAUGUUACAUGACCCUGAUCCAUUCUCUCCCGGGGUACCCUCUCCCAGACCUGCUGGCACAGCUGAGAAACAAACACGGGGCAUCCCCGGAGUACAUUGUGAGGAAUGGGAAGAGAGGAACAGUAUUUAUCUUCAACGCACCCUGGAGAUCUUGACAUUAAUGUGUGUCCGUAUCUCUUCUCAGUUCCGUGUGUGGAUGCUUAAUUCGAUCUCUGGCUAUUGAGAAGGAGGAGGCCAGGGUGAGGGGGCGUGUGGGAUCUGACCCAGACAAAUGGUGGGAAAGCAAGUAUCUCAACAGACCAGCACAGGAAAUUCUCCCUUCUUUCGAAGACAGAUCUGUCCUCCUCAUUUAAUCCCCAGCACAGCUGCACCGCUCACAGCAUAGAGACACAUUAAAUGAAAAUGGAUUCUGAUCUGGGGAUCGUUGUGGCACGUCUAAUUUCAGAUUUCUCCUUUUCCACAGUUUCACCCCACCGGGGGUUUGAGUCAAAACACAGAAAGGGGAUAUCACCUGAGGCGGAAAUCGAAUGGCUAUUAUUGGAGAUGCUAAAGCUAUGGUUGCCUACACACCCCCACCUCCAGGGGUGGCUGCCGUUCACCCAGUGCCUCCUGCAUGUCAGGUCAGAGGUACGAAAAUACCACAAGAAAGGAGACCUUUGAAGUGAUCAUCUGUUUAGCUGAGGGGGAGGUGGUGUUGCCCAAAGGCUCACCCAGGAAUGUAACCUUCUGGAGCUCUAGACAGAGAGCCUGGAAGGCCCCCAGAGACAUGUGGAAGCCUCAGAGUUGACUUGGAAAAACAUCUGAACUUCUGGUUGGGGCUCUGAUCCAAGGCUGUAGCCCUCUGGGAGACUUCAUUUGCUUUCAGCCAAUCGAUGGAAGCCACCUGUUUGAGAUCUGAGCUGGCGGGAUCACCGCCUUCAAUUUCAGGAACCUUAGGGGCCAGAUGCUGAAGUUUCUUUCAGAAUGUACCCUGGAAUCUCUUGUUCUCCAGUACAAGAGCUUAGACAAAUUUAUGUGACCACGUGAGUGACAGGUCUGGGAAAAUGGCGGUUUCAUGGGUAAAUUUCACUAGGCACUUUCUAUGGGUCUCAAAGCGAGACUCAUAAACUGGAAGCAAAAACAUCCCCUGGAAGAAGUGCAGAAUCUCAGACUCCACCCCUAAAUCUAUUGAAUCAGACUCUGCAGUUCAACAUGAUCUCAGCUAAUGUGCAUGUACAUGGAAGUUUGACAAGAGCAGAGUUGGACAAGCUUUGGCCACCUGAUGCAUAGAGCCAACUCAUUGAAAACUGAGUCACCUGAUGCUGGGAAAGAUUGAGGACAAGAGAAGAAAGGGGCAACAGAGGAUGAGAUGGCUGGAUGGCAUCACUGGCUCAAUGGACAUGAAUCUGAGCAAACUCUGAGAGAUAGUUUAGGACAGGAAAGCCUGGCAUGCUGCAGUCCAUGUGGUUGCAAAGAGUCAGCCGAACAACAACAGACAAGCUUUGUCAUAUAUGCAGAGUGCUUCCAUUGCUUCUGCUGUGUCCUUGGCAGACAUCAUUAAUCAAUCACAGAGUUAUUUUCUUCCAAGCUCAGAAUCAUUGCAAGUCAUGAUUCCAGGUAGCACUGGCCAACAAGAGUGAGUCUAAGAUGCAAACCACCUUCUACACCAGUGUCAACACUUUUAAGAGUUUUGUGACACUUUUAUUUUCGUCAAUAUCCUCCCAGUGCUAGGUAUAGCCAUGGGCACAUCAGAAGUGCCUGAUCAAUGUUUGUGGAAUGACUAUCUUCCCCCCAACCACCACUGCCUUUAAAAAAAUUUUCCUGUGGCAUUUUUUCUACCCCAGCCCCCAUCCCCAGAAAAUUAGAAUUUCCAUUGGACAGGCAUGCAGUCCAACAUCCCUUCUGUGUCUUGAGUUUUGUUGUUGGCACCUGUUAGAAAGUUGAAAUGAGUUUUUAAAGAUGUUAGGGUCUUCAUGAAGAUACAUGGGAACCUGCCUUGCUGGCAUGUGGACCUCAAUCUAUGCAAGCUUUCUCGGGGACAUGGCCCCUUGUCCCAGAUGAUAGCCCUAAAGAUGGCAGCCAUGUGAACUGGAUUGCAGGCAGAGGUGGGGAGGGGGGUGUGGGUAGCGGAGUCAGGAGACACAGUUGGACUCAUGGGGCCCCAAAGACAGAGCAAUAAUGAUUAUAAAUAGCAUCCUUUGGACGGCCGUUUGAUGUACUGUCCAAGGCCAGGUGGAAAAUCUUUCCUUCCUUGACUUUCCCCACUAAUCACCUUCCCCUCAUUAUUCAAUAAAGAUUCUG